rnacentral:piRNA from 1 species
AUCACUUUUAGUGGUUGACCAUGUUUUUGC